rnacentral:snoRNA from 1 species
GGUCAGUGAUGUGAUGGCAUGUAUUAGCUGAGUCCAAAGUUGAUGAAAAUACUGAAAUGACACUGAGACCUU